GACGAACCGUACGAACGUUAUUCGGAAUCACUGGGCUUAAAGGGUGCGUAGGCUGCGCAGCAAGUUGGGUGUGAAAUCCCUCGGCUUAACCGAGGAACUGCGCCCAAAACUGCUGUGCUCGAGGGAGACAGAGGUGAGCGGAACUUAGGGUGGAGCGGUGAAAUGACGUUGAUAUCCUAAGGAACACCGGUGGCGAAGGCGGCGAACCUGGUCCUUGACUGACGCUG
rnacentral:rRNA from 1 species